CCUACGGGAGGCAGCAGUGGGGGAUAUUGCACAAUGGGGGAAACCCUGAUGCAGCGACGCCGCGUGGGCGAAGAAGUAUUUCGGUAUGUAAAGCCCUAUCAGCAGGGGAGAAGAAAUGACGGUACCUGAGUAAGAAGCACCGGCUAAAUACGUGCCAGCAGCCGCGGUAAUACGUAUGGUGCAAGCGUUAUCCGGAUUUACUGGGUGUAAAGGGAGCGCAGGCGGCACGGCAAGCCUGAUGUGAAAGCCCGCGGCCCAACCGCGGGACUGCAUUGGGAACUACCGGGCUGGAGUGCCGGAGAGGUAGGCGGAAUUCCUAGUGUAGCGGUGAAAUGCGUAGAUAUUAGGAGGAACACCAGUGGCGAAGGCGGCUUACUGGACUGUAACUGACGUUGAGGCUCGAAAGCGUGGGGAGCAAACAGGAUUAGAUACCCGGGUAGUC
rnacentral:rRNA from 1 species